UACGUAGGGGGCUAGCGUUGUCCGGAAUCAUUGGGCGUAAAGCGCGUGUAGGCGGUCCGGUAAGUCCGCUGUGAAAGUCGGGGGCUCAACCCUCGAAUGCCGGUGGAUACUGUCGGGCUAGAGUGCGGAAGAGGCGAGUGGAAUUCCUGGUGUAGCGGUGAAAUGCGCAGAUAUCACUAGGAACGCCGGUGGCGAAAGCGGCCGACUGGACCUCUUCUGACGCUGAGGCGCGAAAGCCAGGGAGCGAACGGG
rnacentral:rRNA from 1 species